CCCAUUUAACAAUUAUGACAUGUAACGAAUUCAUUAAGCAAAAUAUGAGCGGGUGAAGAUUAUGAGGAGUAUGAUGAAAGCAUGAUGCCAGAAAACCUACCGCAUGAUAUCAAACAACUUGAUAGUCAGAAUAUGGACGAAAUUGAAGUUAUCAAUCUAGAUGAUGAGGAAAUAGUAAGGAAAUGUGAGUUAAUAUAUAAUUUUAAGCACUGAUAUCAUCACACAUCG
rnacentral:lncRNA from 1 species